AAUACUUUAUUGCUAAAAAAUGCUAACCAUUCUCUAAGUCUUCAUUUUGUGAGUUAUAAUUUUUUUGUAAUAGUAACAUCAAAGAUCACAAUCACCAUGAUAAAUAAUAAUGAAAAAGUUUGACAUAUUGCUGAAAUUACUACACUGUGACACAGACAUUAAGAGAGCAGAUGCUGUUAGAAAAACAGGGCUGAAAGACUUGUAAUGGGCACAGGAUUGACACAAACAUUCAAUUUGUAAACAAAGCAAAAACCGCAGUAUUUGCAAAAUGCAAUGAUAUGAGGUAUGCCUAUAAAUUAACAUUUUACUUACAUUAUUAAGCUAUUAUUUCUCAGUAGUUUACAUUAGGUUCAAAAGCUUUUCAGGAGUGGGAGGCAUCGGGAGCUUGGGCCUAUCAGACACAACUUGGAAUAGAUUUACAAGGAGAUCCUGCUGAGUAGCAUUGAGAACUUUGUCUAGAUACUCAUGUUGCAACAGAACAAAGGGUGGGGGAAAAAAAUGUAAUUGUAAUGUAUACAUGUAAGGAUAACUUGAUCCCCUUGCUGUACAGUGGGAAAAUUAAAAAAUAAAAAUUAAAAAAAAAACAAUUUUUCAAAAAGUUAAAAAGCAUAAAGAUUUUAAUUUUAACCUACAGACGGCCACAGCCAGGACGCAUGAGCACAAGUCCCUGUACACCUCUUCUCCAUGGCUCCUGGCCUGCUUCAGGGCUGUGGCUACAGAAGACACCCCAGAGGCAUGGCUUCAGAACACACGUACUACGAGUAAAUCUUUUCUCCAAAUGGGAACUCGGCUCUGUUUUCUAAGGUAUCAGCCUAAAACUCUGUAGGACUGAGGAACAAGCACUUAAAUAUUUCCUACCUAGGAUAAGACACCAAAUAGUAAUAGUCAGUCUGAGAAAUGCUUCAUACCUGAGGGAAGUCCUAUGCUUUUUAGAACCAAAAAGCUAAAGAGGCCUGACAAUUCAAUGUAGCAAGUUUAGAGGAGGAAACAGAUGCAGCAUCAACACUCCCACGAAGUACAAUUAGCACCAGAAUAGAAUUUUUCUUCAUGUAAUCUCUUUCCUGCUCCCUCUCCUACCUCUUCACCUCUUUCCCCCUUGCUACAACUGUGGUACUAUAAAUACCCUUCCCACUCUGGUAAUAAUCUAAAGCUUUUAUCUACUUUCCUCUCUACCUCUAUCCAGCCUUAGAGAUUAAUUUAUGUCAGAUUUCUCUCUACAAAAAUGCCAGCUGGCAAGCCAAUAUGGGAUAUUUCCUUAACAUAUUACCUAUUUCUCAAUAUCUAAUGUAUAAAGUGGCUGAGCUAAGAGAAGUAUUUUUCCAGUCUUGGAUUAUUCUUCUCUAAGCUCUAGACAUAUCACUAAGAAAAAACUUUUAUUUUUAGCAUCUAAAUUUAGAUAAAAUGCAUAAAACAAAGCACAACAUUUUGGUUUAUUUGCAAAAGACGGUGCAAAUAAAACUAUGAGACUCUCCCCAGGGUACUUGGCCAUAGAGAAUUACAACUAUUUCUUGGAAAAUGGGUACGUUUGGCCAUUUAUAAGAGUCCUAAUCUUAGAAUUGGGAGCUAUGGGUUCAAGUCGUUAAGUGUGCAAAUAAUAAUACUGCAUGUCUUUAUAAAAAUAACUCAUCUUUGCAUCUUACUUUACAGUUUUUAACAUACUUUCCUCUUAAAAUAAUCAUGACCAGUAACAACCCUGUGGAGCAAUCAUCACUGUUACUUUAUAGAGAAACAGACUCAAGUCCACAGGGCAAGAUGUACCAGAGUUAAGGACUAAAACAUAGAAAUCUUUUUAAUGUACUGGCUUUUUCAGCCAUUCAGUGCCAAACUAUGACACAGGGGAUGUAGAACAGUUCCCAAAGAGCAAAAAAACGAUGAGUUUAGUGAGUUUACCACCAAAGUUUGCCACUCAUAGCAGUGCAAGUCCCCAAACUCUGAAGUGAUUAAAAAAAAAAAAGUCUAAGCUCAAAUACCAUUUGAUAUCACUUAUAUCUGGAAUCUAACAUAUGGCACAAAUGAACCUUUCCACAGAAAAGAAAAUCAUGGACAUGGAGAACAAACUUGUGGUUGCCAAGGGGUCAGGGGAGGGAGUGGGAUGGACUGGGAGUCUGGGGUUAACGGAUGUAAACUACUGCAUUUGGAGUGGAUAAGCAAUGACAUCCUGCUGUAUAGCACAGGGAACUAUAUCUAGUCACUUGUGAUGGAACAUGAUGGAGGAUAAUGGGAGAAAAAGAACGUCUGUGUUCGUGUGCGCGUGCAUGCACGCGACUAGGUCACUUUUGCUGUAUAACAGAAAACUGACAGAACACUGUAAACCAACUAUAAUGGAAAAAAUAAAAAUCA
rnacentral:lncRNA from 1 species